UACGUAGGGGGCUAGCGUUGUCCGGAUUUAUUGGGCGUAAAGAGCGUGUAGGCGGCCAGGUAGGUCUGCUGUGAAAACUCGAGGCUCAACCUCGAGACGUCGGCGGAAACCAUCUGGCUAGAGUCCGGAAGAGGAGAGUGGAAUUCCUGGUGUAGCGGUGAAAUGCGCAGAUAUCAGGAAGAACACCCGUGGCGAAGGCGGCUCUCUGGGACGGUACUGACGCUGAUGAGCGAAAGCGUGGGUAGCAAACAGG
rnacentral:rRNA from 1 species